UGUAGAGAACUGGAAUCUCGUUAGCCUCAUAAGCUAAAGGCAGUUGGUUCGAUUCCAACCAUCGCAACCA
rnacentral:tRNA from 1 species